AGAAAUAUACUCCAUCGAUAAACUUUGCUGUCAACUCAAUUAACCUGUCAUCAUUGAGUAGGUUUGUUUUGUAUUCUUUUACGUCACAUCUUUUUUGUUCGGGUAACUGUUUUCGCCCACAUUUUUUAUUCAGUAAUUUGUUUCCGAUAUUAUCGGAUUCGUGCAGUGCCUAUCACUCAUACUUAUAUAUAAAGUAUAAUAAUAUAUUUUUCAAUGCCUACGCAGUGCGUGUAAUGUCAUAACACAUAACGAUAUUCGUAAUUAAAACAUAUGAAAUAAAUUAAAAAUUUUCUUCUUUGAAUCGGCA